GGUUUGAUUAUGGCUCAGAUUGAACGCUGGCGGGAUGCUUUACAUGCAAGUCGAGCAGCACGGACUUCGGUCUGGUGGCGAGUGGCGAACGGGUGAGUAAUGUAUCGGAACGUGCCUAGUAGCGGGGAUAACUGCGCGAAAGCGUAGCUAAUACCGCAUACGCCCUUCAGGGGAAAGCAGGGGACCUUCGGGCCUCGCACUAUUAAGCGACCGAUAUCGGAUUAGCUAGUUGGUGGGGUAACAGCUCCUGCGGUGACGAUCCGUAGCUGGUUUGAGAGGACGACCAGCCACACCAGGACUGAGACACGGCCCAGACUCCUGCGGGAGGCAGCAGUGGGGAAUUUUGGACAAUGGGGAAACCUGAUCCAGCCAUCCCGCGUGUGCGAUGAAGGCCUUCGGGUUGUAGCACUUUUGUGGAAAGAAACGGCACGGGAUAAUACCCCGUGCAACUGACAGUACCUGCAGAAUAAGCACCAGCUAACUACGUGCCAGCAGCCGCGUGUACGUAGGGUGCAAGCGUUAAUCGGAUACUGGGCGUAAAGCGUGCGCAGGCGGUUCGGAAAGAAAGAUGUGAAAUCCAGAGCUUAACUUUGGAACUGCAUUUUUAACUAUUUCGAGCUAGAGAGUGUGUCAGAGGGAGAAUUGGAAUUCCGCGUGUAGCAGUGAAGCCGUAGAUAUGCGGAGGAACACCGAUAGCGAGCGGCCCUCCUGGGAUAACACUGACGCUCAUGCGCAUGGCGUGGGAGCAAACAGGAUUAGAUACCCUGGUAGUCCACGCCCUAAACGAUGUCAACUAGCUGUUUGGGGCCUUCAGGCCCUUGGUAGCGCAGCUAACGCGUGAAGUUGACCACCCAUGGGGAGUACGGUCGCCAAGAUUAAAACUCAAAGGAAUUGACGGGGACCGCACAAGCGGUGGAUGAUGGGAUUAAUUCGAUGCAACACGAAAAACCUUACCUACCGCCGAUGGAUCCGGAAGGGAUUGGUGCUCGCAAGAGAACCGGAACACAGGUGCUGCAUGGCUGUCGUCAGCUCGUGUCGUGAGAUGUUGGGUUAAGUCCCGCAACGAGCGCAACCCUUGUCAUUAGUUGCUACGAAGGGCACUCUAAUGAGACUGCCGGUGACAAACCGGAAGGUGGGGAUGACGUCAAGUCCUCUCUGUGACCCUUGUGGGUGGAGCUUCCCCUACGUCGCACAAUGGUGCCAAGGACAGAGAGGUCGCCAACCCACGAAGAAGACCCAAUCCCAGAAACCCGAUCGUAGUCGGGAUCUAGUCUACGCUCGACUGCGUGAAGUCGGAAUCAUUAGUAAUCGCGGAUCAGCAUCUCACGGUGAAUACGUUCCACGGGUCUUGUACACACCGCCCGUCACACCUUGGGAGUGGGUUUUACCAGAAGUAGUUAAGCCUAACCGUAAGGAAGGCGAUUACCACGGUAGGAUUCAUGACUGGGGUGAAGUCGUAGCAAGGUAG
rnacentral:rRNA from 1 species